UGCCGCGUGAGUGAUGAAGGCCUUAGGGUUGUAAAGCUCUUUCACCGGUGAAGAUAAUGACGGUAACCGGAGAAGAAGCCCCGGCUAACUUCGUG
rnacentral:rRNA from 1 species